rnacentral:rRNA from 1 species
UGCAUGUACCGUUCGAAUAAGCAUCGGCUAAUUCCGUGCCAGCAGCCGCGGUAAUACGGAAGAUGCGAGCGUUAUCCGGAUUUAUUGGGUUUAAAGGGAGCGUAGGCGGCCUUUUAAGUCUGCGGUGAAAUGUCAUGGCCCAACCUUGGCAUGCCGCGGAUACUGAGAGGCUUGAAUACACACAAGGAAGGUGGAAUUCGUCGUGUAGCGGUGAAAUGCUUAGAUAUGACGAAGAACUCCGAUUGCGAAGGCAGCCUUCUGGGGUGCGAUUGACGCUGAGGCUCGAAAGCGCGGGUAUCAAACAGGAUUAGAUACCCUG